CUGAAAAUACAAUAUAAUAGUUAUAUAAUCUACAUGAUUGGCAUACAGUCAGACUGAGAUGACUGACUACCAUACAAUAUAAAAAAUAAAUUGCAAAAAAGUGAGAACCUCCGGAACGCUCAGAAAAAAGCAAUAUAGGUCUAGUGGGCUCUUUUCUUUCUCCACCCCAUGCGCUGCGGAGAGUAAAUACAUUAAAAAAGUACCCAGGAGAUUCUCAGUCUCACGUCUUAUAGACCUUGGCAUGUCUUCUUUGUGAUUUGUACUGAUUAUCUUAUAAAGUGUUGCUGGUUGCAGCUAUAAUUGACAUGUUUAAGGCUGCUUUUUUCCCUAGAUUUGUUUACUGAGCUUAGUUAUUAGCCGUUUAGCCGUUACAGUGAAUAUCACAAAUCUUUAAACUGAUUUCCAAGUGUGAGUGAAUUCAGCCUAUAGAAUAAGUGUGAAUCUCCUGCACUCUGAUUUAUUGUAUUAUUUUAAAGAUGCGGAAACUUCCUAGAAAAACAAGGCUAGACUGGUGGUAACUAUACAGAAACCUAGCCAUGUUUAGGAACAUUCCAACCAAGGUUUAAUUGACGAAUCACUUGAAUGUUCAGUGGGGCUGGGACUCACAUAACUGAGAAUUUGCAAUAUAUAAGCCUCAAUUUAAUAUUUUUGUAAAAGCU